rnacentral:rRNA from 1 species
UUCCAGCUCCAAUAGCGUAUAUUAAAGUUGUUGCGGUUAAAAAGCUCGCAGUUGGAUUCCUGCGAGGGGCGAUCGGUCCACCCAUUGGGUGUGUAUCUGUGUCGGUCUUGGCACCUUCUUGGCGAACGCAACUGCACUUGACUGUGUGGUGCGGCAUCCAGGGCUUUUGCGUUGAGGAAAUUAGCGUGUUUCAAGCAGGCGUGCGCCUUGAAUACCUUAGCAUGGCAUAAUAAGGUAGGACCUGAGUUCUAUGUAGUUGGUUUCUAGAGCUGAGGUAAUGAUUCAUAGGGAUGGUUGGGGGCAUUCGCACUUAACAGUCAGAGGUCAACGUCUUGGAUUUUUUGAAGACGGGCUACUGCGAAAGCAUUUACCAAGGAUGUUUCAUCA